rnacentral:lncRNA from 1 species
CUCCCGCGUAGCCUGCGGGCCCCUGGCGGCCCAGGGCAUGGGGCAGAGACGCCAUGCCGGCUGAUACACACGCCCGGAGGAGGUGAGGGAGGAAGCCACUUGAAAAUAAACAGGUGCCGUAAAGGGCAUAGGUAGCUUGCCCGGGUUUCCUGCUUCCUGGUCGCUCGCGCUCGCCUCCCCGCCGCCUCGCCUCCCCUCGAGCAGCCUCCGCACCCCGUUCUUUCACUCCUCGGCGCGUGAGCUCCUGGCAGCCUCACCCUUUUGCACAUGACGCGCCUCCCCGGGUCUCCCGCAGGCAGGCCUCGCUCCUCCCUCCGCCAGGCCUGCCCGGGAGGCCUCGACCCGGCGAGGUGACCCGCCCCAGGGUCGCCGGCGCGAGGACGAGGCUGGCGGUGCGCUGCUUCCUCAGAGCCGCUUCCUCAGAGCCGGCUGCGGCGGGCCCGGGCGGGAACCACGGAGCCCAGUGCACCAGCCUCCUCGGUGCUACCGCGGGACACAGAGGAAACAGGAACAGCUGGUUUCUGUGGGCAGGCCCCGGGCUGGAACUAGAGCCAGGGUGCGGCCGGCGGGGGACAGGGAAAGAGAUCACAGCGAAGACCCAGAAGAAACAAAAGGCAAGCGAAUGACUUUAUUUUACUGAAAAAAAAAAAACUUGAAUGAAGAGAGCCAAAGUACAUGGUGAUGUGAGUGUGAGUCAUGGAACUUGUUCUUUUUUCUGAAUAAUUAUUUCACUUAAGAAGACAUCCAGAUACAUCCAGAUAAUUUGACUAUUUGCCGACCUCUUGGAUGUACCAUAGAUUCUUAUGCAUUGGAUCCUUGAAGACUUAACGCUUCAGGAUGGCAUGCUGGGCACACAAGUUCACUUCCCCCUUGCAAAGCCACAUGACAUUUACGGUAAAGAAAUAAGGCAGAAAUAAAGCCAUGACACUACUGUGACCAGAAGGAAGGCCAUCCGAGAGAAAUAUACUUUUGUGAAGUUCUUGGCAAGAAGAAAGAGGAGAGGACCAGGCCGGGCGCGGUAGCUCACGCCUGUAGUCCCAGCACUUUGGGACAAGGCGGGUGGAUUACAAGGUCAGGAGAUCGAGACCAUCCUUGCUAACACGGUGAAACCCCGUCUCUACUAAAAGUACGAAAAAUUAGCCGGGCGUGGUGGUGGGCGCCUGUAGUCCCAGCUAUUGGGGAGGCUAAGGCAGGAGAAUGGCGUGAACCCAGGAGGUGGAGUUUGCAGUGAGCCGAGAUCAUGCCACUGCACUCCAGCCUGGGCAACACUGCAAGACUCCGUCUCAAAAAAAAAAAAAAAAGAAAAGAAAAGAUAAAUAAAAUUGAUAAUUUGACUAUUUGCCGACCUCUUGGAUGUACCAUAGAUUCUUAUGCAUUGGAUCCUUGAAGACUUACACUUCAGGAUGGCAUGCCAGGCACACAAGUUCACUUCCCCCUUGCGAAGCCACAUGACAUUUAUGGUAAAGAAAUAAGGCAGAAAUAAAGUCAUGACACUACUGUGACCAGUGCAGUGGCAUGACCAUAACUCACUGCAGCCUCAAAUUCCUGGGUUCAAGGGAUCCUCCUACCUCAGCCUACUAUGGAGUAGCUGAGACUACAGGCACGUGCCACCAUGCUUGUCUAAUUUUUUUUUUUAAGUACUGGUAGAGAUGGGUACCUUGCUUUGUUGCCCAGGCUAGUCUUAAACUCCAGGCCUCAAACCAUGCUCCCACCCCAGCCUCCUGAAGCACUAGGAUUACAGGCAUGAGCCACUGCAUCAAGCCCAAAAGAGGCUUCUUAUAAAAAAGGAACAACCAGAAAACAAGAAAGGGUUACUGGAAAUUAAAAAUAUGGCUAAAGUGCCUCGUUAGCUCAGUCGGUAGCGCUUCAGUCUCAUAAAAAUAUGGCUGCUAAAAAAUUUUACCUGUAACACAAACACUGAAAAAUGAAAUCAAGGAAAUCUACCAAAAUGAUGAGUAAAAAGAAAUAGAAAGUAUGAAACAAAAGUUACAAUCAGAGAAUCAAUAGAAGUCCUACACCCGCCUAACAGAACUGUCAGAAGAAAGCUGAAAAAAAAAUGUGCAGGAGAAAAUCAUUGAAUAAACCAUAGGUGAAGAACGGAUAAACAAAAUGUGGUAUAUACAUACAAUGAAAUAUUAUCCAGUCACAAAAAGGAAAGGAGCUACAUGCUACAACAUGGAUGAACCUUGACAACAUUAUGCUGAGUGAGAAAAACCACACACAAAGGCACAAAGGCCACAUAUUGUAUGAUUCCAUUUAUAUGAAAAGUCCAGAACAGGCAAAGCCAUAGAGACAGAGAGUAAAUUAGUGGUUUCCAGGGACUGGGGGAAAAGGGUAAUGAGUGAGUGAUUGCUAAUGGGUGUGGGAUUUCUUUUGGGGGUGAUGAAAAUGUUCUGAAGCUAGAUUGUGGUGAUGGUUGCACAGCUUUGUAAAUAUAAAAAAACCGUUUCUUUGUAUGCU